UGCUGUGUCACAGACGAACACAGCGCGGGAGAGUUUGGCUGAAGUAACUGGAAAUGUUGCUUAGAAAUAUACAUUGUUAUUCAACACGUAUAGACAGGCUGUGAGUUAUUAAAGCUUUUAGAGGAAUAUGAAGUGCUGAAUGAAAUGCAGAGAGAGACAGCGCGACAUUCAUUUCAGCGUGAGCGGUUAAUGUGUGCUUUGUGCGUCGUUACGGAUGAAAGGAAGCUAUAAUGGGUGACAGGACUCUACCUGAAUGGAUGAACAAACCUCAGGAAGAACAUACACCAGGACCCUAUAAAAAGAGCAUUCUGGAGGAUGGUCUUCCUUAUCUGGAGUUUGGAGGAACAGUCAUAUACAGCCAGGAAAGACACGACUGCUCAUUUUUAUCAGAAGA